CUACAAUUGUCUAACCAGAAAUCGUAAUUCUUAAAGAAAAAAUGUUGUGGGUGGCGUAUUUUUAUGAUAAAAGAGCCAGGUGCUAAUCCUGAAGCCCUAAAGAAGGCUUCAUCCUCAACCACCAGAAUCAGGCAACAAACAAGCCGAUAACCACCUGGUUAUCUUAAAGAUUAUGUGGUGGAGUUUCCCCCACCAAAGCCCACCGUCAAGCCCACCGGGGCUCAAAGCGGGGAUGGAUCAACUGUACGUUCCAGCCAUCAACCAUCCCGUCCAAGCCAAUGACCGGAAACUGCUUUGGAACAGGGGAGUGGUCUACGGGAAGAACCAAUGGAAGAGGACAUUUCUAAGUGACCCCAAACCUUUGAAAUGUAGUGUAUAUACUGGGCGGUGUCAGAGGAAAGCCCAUAAAAUUGUCAAAGACUCCAGUGACCCACAGCAAGCAGUACCAGAGUGCCAAGUCUAGGACCAAAAAGCUCCUUAACAGCUUCUACCCCCAAAGCCAUAAGACUGCUGAACAACUAAUCAAAUGGCCACCGGACUAUUUACAUUGACCCCCGAUCCGCCUCCAUUUGUUUUGUACACUGCUGCUACCCGCUGUUUAUUAUCUAUGCAUAGUCACUUCACCCCUACCUACGUGUACACUGCUGCUACUCGCUGUUUAUUAUCUAUGCAUAGUCACUUCACCCCUACCUACGUGUACACUGCUGCUACUCGCUGUUUAUUAUCUAUGCAUAGUCACUUCACCCCUACCUACGUGUACACUGCUGCUACUCGCUGUUUAUUAUCUAUGCAUAGUCACUUCACCCCUACCUACGUGUACACUGCUGCUACUCGCUCUUUAUUAUCUAUGCAUAGUCACUUCACCCCCUACCUACAUGUACAAAUGACCUCUAACCUGUACCCCAGUACACUGACUUGGUACCGGUACCCCCUGUAUAUAGCCUCGUUAUUGUUAUGUUAUUGUGUUACUUUUUAUUAUUUUUUUGUUUAGUUUGGUAAAUAUUUUCUUAACUCUUCUUAAAACUGCACUGUUGGUUAAGGGCUUGUAUGUAAGCAUUUCACGGUAUGGUCUACACUUGUUGUAUUCGGCGCAUGUGGCAAAUCCACUUCAAUCAGUGUAGAUGAUGGGGAGACAGGUUUAAGAAUGAUUUUAAGCCUUGAGACAAUUGAGACAUGGAUUGUGUAUGUGUGCCAUUCAGAGGGUGAAUGGGCAAGACAAAAUAUUUUGUCAGGUUGUGUCAAAAACUGCACCGCUGCUGUGUUUUUUUAGGCUCAACAGUUUCCAGUGUGUAUCAAGAAUGGUCCACCACCCAAAGGACAUCCAGCCAACUUGACACAACUGUGUGAAGUAUUGGAGUCAACAUGGGCCAGCAUCCCUGUGGAACACUUUCGGAUAUCUUUUAGAAUCCAUGCCUCGGUACUGGUACUCCUUGUAUUUAGCCUUGUUAUUGCUGUUUUAUUAUGUUAAUAUUUCCUUUUUUAAUUUUAUUUAGCUAUGUUCUCUUACUUUUCUACUCUGCAUUGUUGGGAAAGGACUCGUAAGCAUUUCCCGGUAAAGCAUUUAAUCGCUGCAUGUGAUGAAUACAAUUUUAUUGAUUUAUCAUUAAUUUAUAAGUCCAAAAAGUGAUGUAGCAACUGCAGUUUGUAGUGGAAGUGUUUUGUUUGUGUGUGUGUUGAAUUUAACUGCAAAUUUGCUAUGUGAGGCCUAUUUGAUAGAAUAUACUGUAAUGAAACAGCAGGGAGCAGGUCUUGAACCCUCGACCUUCGAGCCCGAGGUCCGGCGCGCUAUCGACUGUGCCGCAAAAGCACUAAUUGGCUUGACUUUGAUAUGUCACGUAACUAUUUAGUCGUUGCUUGCCCUUGAAAGGUCCAGGUAUGUAGACAAGUAUAUUAUUGACGGCUUGCCUCCGUGUCUUUUCAACUUUCCGGAGAUCUAGCUGGGGAGACAACCGUUCCAAAUAAAGUAGCCUAUGGUGAUAUCAAAACCUACUUAUUUUUUUAUUAUUGACGUUUUUAUUCUGAUACGCGUUCAUUUCUGUACUGUACUCUUCCUAUUUGAUUCUAUUGAAUUAUUAUUUUUUUUCUUCUACAAAUGCAGGAGAAUAUAAUAGCUGUUAUUUGACGGAUACAGCUCACUAGUCCUUACUACAAGCUAACAAGCAAGCUUUAUGCAAUACACGUUGCUAGUUAAAUGCAAACAAGUGACUUGCCGGCGAUUUGAACACACAUUCAUGUAUGAAGUAACUGGAGCCCACAGCUUUCCAUCAUCAUAGCGGUGUAAUGGCCUGAAACCAUAAGGUUUGUCUAAUCUGGUCCUUAGGCAGUUGGUCAAACUUAAUUUGCUGGUCUUUUCUCCUACUAUUGUUCAAA